rnacentral:lncRNA from 1 species
GUAAUCUGACAUCCUUUUCCCCACCUCUUCCAGCGAAGGCCCCGGGGAGCCGCCUCUUCAUCCACUCACAGGUCACUCCCUUCUUAGCUGGAACCUGGACCCUGGCUCAACUUGAAUUCCUUGGCCUCCCACUGGUUUCUCUCUGGAGCUGCAUUUUUCAACCUGUGAGGAAACUGAGGCCUAGGAGAGUUAAAGGACCGCCCAAGACCACACCACCGCACAGAGACACCAGGACUGAACGCUUGUGUCUUCUGACUUGCAGCUUCCAGCAGCCUGGCUGGGUAGCAAGAGAAGGCUGCUCUAAAGCUACCUUACUCCCAGGUUGCAGGAGCAGAACCAAGACGUUCAGAUCCCUUGAGGAAGAGAAUGGCUCAGCAUGAGGGGGCCUCACCCAGAGCCCUGGGUCUGCUCUGAGCCCCUCACUUAAAGAGGGAAGCUGACCAAAUGAGGAGAACAGAGCAACAGAGCAAGUGGCACCAGAGAGACCACCCACGGAGGGCACUUCGUGAAGAGCGAGGAUUGGCUCUGACCAGUGCUUAUCAGCAGGCACACAGGUAGUUGAAAACAAAUCCCAGAUAUCAGGUGACUUCAUGUGGAAUGACUUCAG